UAAAUAAAAUGUGUAUCUACCUACUACUUAUUCACAAAUAACAUGAACUACGUCAACUACAUGAAGUUGCUUCAUAUACAAAACAACUAGCUUCAUAUCUAUCGUUACUUUUACUUUGUUCCUGUCUAUAGUAGCAAUACGAAGCUCCGCAAAAUAAUACCUAAUUAAGUAAAAUAUAGUGGAAAAGUAAAGAAAAUUACUUUAAAAGUAAAAUAAUUUAUUUAAUGCGUGAAUUUGAAUAAGUUUGAUUAUCAUACAAUAUUCAUUUUAUAAAUUAUGAAGACUUUUAGAGAGUUGAAAUGGAGCUAUAUAAAAUUAUCUACCUACCAUACAUUUAUCGAAAUAUUAAAAUUAGCAAAUUCAGUGCAAAACGCCGAUUUUGUAAGCUAAUUAAAUGAAUACUAAUAGUUCGUUUCAACUUUAUAAAAAGUGUCGACACCGUGAGACCAGUGAAUAGAGUGGAUAUAGACAAGAAUGGUGAUAAUGUGAACUGCGAAGGCUGCCAGAAGAAGACGCCGUUCAUUUCAUUCAUGCCAUGAUCACAACGUGGUGCAACCCACAUUGUAAUGUCGGCAAUAAAAAUCAGAUCUACAUCGACGGUGGUUCUGAGUGUAUGCAAAUCCAACCUGCCCGCAUCAGUAUCUCAUUUAAAGAAAAGAGAGAAUCCGAAUAAUAUUAAAUUGAGGGUGUGUAUGAUGAGGGAAUGUAAUCAGGACCGCCGCUGGCAAGUUAUACAUCCUCUAUCUCAAAAGUGUUGGAUCAUUUUACUGGAACGGUAACGCUGCCUGUGCUGAUCGUAUAUGCUGGACGAACACUAGUAAUGGAUGAAUGGUAAGGAUUUCGCCAAAGAUUAAUACAGGUGAUCGUACAUAAACGGAAGAAGUCAAAAAUUAAGACGCAGAAGUAAAUGAAGAAGGAGAAGCAAAAUGAUGACGAAUAAUGAAAAAGCUCAGUAAAUCCUUAAAGUAGUUUAGUAGGCCGGAUAGGGCUGUCCAAAUUAGAUGGGAUUUAGUUUGGCAGCGCUGUUAUAAUGAAUGUUAUGUUGAACAGAUAAAGCCAAUAAAAGUAACUAAAUUAAUUUUGGGGGGCCACAAUGUAUUUGUAAGAACAAAAUGCAGCUAUAAUAUCAUUAUUUUGUUAUUGUAUUACUUUUUAUUAAUUUAUUUUUUACAAAUAGACGACAAAGUUUAUCAUUAAUAUUGGUAGUAGCUAGAAAAUAUUUGGCGGGCCGUAUCAACUGAAGCCGCGAGUCACAUGUGGUUUGGACAGCUCUGGGUUAUAACAUGAAGUCUGCCUUUUGUAUUAAGUACGUCUUAUUGUUAUUUUUAGUCUUGCUAAUAUUAUAAAUAUGAUAGUUUAUUUGUUAUCUCUUGGUGUCUUAGUGACUGAACUAAUCGUCAUAUAUUUGGUACACACUUUUUUUUUAUAAUAGGGUAAUAAUGAAUGAUAACCCUACUAGCGCUAUCGAUGUAUACUUGCGGUGUAUCAACGGCGAUGAUAAAUGAAAAUAAAGCCAGUUAAUGUAUCAUGGUGAAUUUACUGGGAUUUAAUCACGUUGGAUCCCAGAAGAGUGUGAGACCGUGUAGGGGUCGAACGGACAGGAAGUAGUUAACAAUGACAACCAACUUCCCCCAUUAUUAGAAAUCUCUACGCUCUACGUAGUAUUUGAAAUGAAAAAGAACAACGAAUACUUUUUAUUCCAGUAAAAGUUGCCGGGAUUAAGAUUCUGUACCAUUUUUCAUUUUUUUUUAUGUUAUCUAUACCAUUUACUUGCAAAUAUCUUUUUAUAAUAUAUUAAUUCUAUUUAGUAGGCGCUUACUCAUUUCGUGUAUGCAUGUCGUUAUGAGGUACGUAGGUACCCUACCUAUACCUAUAUCUAAUGUUUCUUUAAUUUUUCUCAAAACAUAUUUAUUACGUGGAAGUUUUAAAAAUAACUUUGAAUUUUUAUAUAAUAGCAUCUCGGCCGUGUCCCGGCGUUGAUUCCGGCAUAGAAUAGGCCACCCCUUUUUUCUUACGGAUGUCGUAAAAGACGACUAACACAAACAAAACAAAAACAUAUCUAAAGCAUGAUUGCCGUAUGUGUAUAUGUGUGUGUGUGUGCGCAUUUGUAUUCAGCUAUUAUUAAAUAUAAUUAUUUUAGUGUUAAUGUCAUAAGCCAAUUUUUUACAGUCGUUUUAACUUUUUUGGUAGAGAGUGCAUUUAUAUUUGUAUGAAAUUUACAAAUUUUAUUAUUUAUUAUUUAGCUGUAAAUAUGCGGCUUGAUGUUUAGGAAGAGCAGUGUUUAUAACUGGUAUAGGAAAACGGAAUAAGCGGCGCCUUACGAGACGACUGAAAUCAGGAGAGUUACUAAUUUCUUUAUGCAUGCUGUUGCUUUUAAAAUGUAGAUCUGACGAACCCUCUUUGGAAACAACUUCCAGCAACAGUAUUUCCGGAUAUGGGCGGCGUUAGUCACUUACCAUCAGGUGAGCCGCAUGCUCGUUACUAGCUAACCCUGAGCACCUUGCUUUGCAUAUAUAGUUUGUCAGUGGAAAAACUUAAGAAGAGAACAUCGUCUUCGACAGUCGUCUAUUAGAGCGUCCUGGUUGUUACUUUAUUAACUGAAAUCAUUCAUAAUUUUAAUUAUUAAAAUGACUACAUUUAAAUCUUAAAAUGCGUUUAAUAGAAAAUUGAUACGUACUUAGGCUUUUUGAUUUAAGGUCUUCAUAAUCUGAGUCCAUAUCCAUUAUUCCUAUGGUGUUCCCGAUGAUGAAGAUUCCUGAGAAAAUAUAUAAUAUAAAUAUAAAAAAAACAGAAAACAUUAUGAUAUGAACAAAAAUGUACAUCGGAACGUCGGACGGCGGAAGCGCAUCAGAAAAGCUAAGUAGAGAAAAUAUUGUCUCGAGUGUCGUCUUAUAGAGGGCUCUCGUCCUUUAUCAAAUGCACUACGUCGCCCAAUGUUUCCCUCUUAAAAUCGCUUGUAUAAAUAAAUAAAUUAUAAUUAACAUAAAUUAUUUAUAAUUUUAAUUAUUAAAAUGACUCCACUAAAAACUUCAAAUACGUAUUUAAUAAAAAGUCGAUACGUUCUUAGGCUUUUUGAUCGUAGAUCUUCGUCGUUCGAUCUUAUGUCCAUAAUGCCCAUGUCAGAGUCCAUCAGAAGCGUCACAGCAUUCUCAGUCGACUUACCCUGACGAAAUCCGAACUGGUUAUCAUUCAAAAUUUUAUUUUCCUCUAGAAACUUAACUAACCGUCUGUAUAUGAUACGCUCUAGAAGUUUAGAAAAUGCUGGCAAGAGUAAUAUUGGACGAUAAUUGCUGGGAUCAUCUUUAGUACUACCUUUAUGCACAGGAACUACCACCGCUGUUUUCAUAUCUGAGGGAAAGAUCCUGACAAAAUGCUUCGAUUAAAUAUUGACGCUAGCGGGCUCGCAAUGAGAUGGCCAAUAUUUUUUAAUAUAUUAUUGUUGAGGCCAUCAAAACCAGAAGCAUUACCAAAAUCCAGAGUGCUUAUAUCAUUUAAGAUUUCUUGAGCGUCAGUGGGAUAUAUGAAAAACGAAUUUUUUGGAGCACAAGUGUACUUUAUUUUUUUGAUUAGCGAUUCUUGCGUUUCACUUAACUUACAUAUAUUUACAAUAAAAUAUAUUUACAAUGUAAACAAUAUAGGUAACGUAGAACAAAAACGAGUAUUUGAAUAAAAUUGUUAGGUCGAUACAUUGUCGAUACUGGACAUUCUCUCCGGUUCCCUUUCCUUUCCCCUUACUAAAGAGUAAGGGGAACAUAAAUUAUUUAUAAUUUUAGUUAUUAAAAUGACACCAUAAAAACUUCAAAUAUAUAUUUUAAAAAAGUUGAUACGUACUUAGGCUUUUUUGAUCGUAGAUCUUCGUCGUCCGAUCUUUUGUCCAUAACUCCCAUGUCAGAGUCCUGAGAAAUAAAAAAAAAAAACAAUAUAAAUAACAAAAAAAAAAAAACAAAAAAUAUUAUAAAAAUAUAUUUACAAUGUAAACAAUAUAGGUAAUGUAGAAUAAAACGAGUAUUUGAAUAAAAGUGUUAGGUCGAUACAUUGUCGAUACUGGACAUUCUCUCCGGUACCCUUUCCUUUCCCCUUACAUUUUCCUUUAUUCUUCGGCUGAAGAUUCGCUUAUGAAGAAUUUAUAUUAGUUAAUUUUUAGCUAUAUCGAGCAUGGUAGGUGUAGUUAAUUAAUUUAUAUAAAAACAAUAUUGACUUACAUUAAAAGUUUCCCCGAUUUUGUGUUUAAUGCAAACACCACGGUCCUUGA